CCUUUUUAUUGAGACUUCCGGUGAAAUUCCUCUUUAUUCCUCCACCUGCGUCGGUUUAGUCUUUGCCCUCGAUUUUGCUCAAUUGGUAUACUUCUGGUGCGAAACAUUGCCUCUCGGUUAAUAGUUUUCAGUGGUAGCGGUGAGUUCUAGUCUGAUCUGAGGUCGCGAGAAUCAUUGGAAUUAGACGAGCUCGAGCACGAAGUCAUUUGUCUGCUCGACUUAAAGAUUUACGGUCCUCAGCUAUCCGGCAGUGAGAAGCACCUCAAAGAUUUCUCACGGCAAGGCAGACCCACUGCGAUCGUUGGUCUCCAAGGCCUCUGCAGGUUAUAUGCUAAGAGAUCCUUGAUUAACGAAGGCCUACUAGAUUCUGAACAGAGAUGAGUUAAGGUCCAAAGUCUAGGAUAUCUAAACCAGGAAAGGAAAUCCAGUCUUCCAAUAUUAAGAAUGGAAGCAUGUGACAAGGUGUGAUUAUCUUCGCCCUUCACAUCAUAAGCAUUGUACAAAUCUGUUUGACUUUAAAUUCUUGCACAAAAAGUAGUGGGAGGAAAAGGACAUAGGAGGCUUCUUCUAUCCUCUUGCAAGUAAACUAAGGGAUCAUCUCACUCUGCCUAUAUCUCUUCGUCUUGGCUCCUCCUCCUCCCUCUCCACCAUCUUUUUCUGCUCCUCUUCCUCCUCCACCUCCUCCCAUCCCUAAGUUCCCUCCUCCUCCCGCUGCCUCUAUCAUCUUAUUAUCAUUGUUAUCAUCAUCACAAUCUCAUCACCAUUCACAUUACAGUCUCAUCUUCAUAACCAUCAUGAUCCAUCUAAUUACAUAAUUAUCCAUACUCAUCAUCGUUGCAUUAUCUUUUCAUAUAAUCAUGAUCUCAUCACAUCCUCAUCCUGAUAACCAUAUCAUGAUCCAUCUCAUUAUUUCAUUAUCCAUAUUAAU